GUGACAAGCUUAAACGGCCGCGGUAUCUUAACCGUGCAAAGGUAGCACAAUCACUUGUUCUUUAAAUAAGGACUAGUAUGAACGGCACCACGAGGGUUCUACUGUCUCCCCCUUUUAAUCAAUGAAACUAAUCUCCCCGUGAAGAAGCGGGGAUAUCCAUAUAAGACGAGAAGACCCCAUGGAGCUUUAAACUCAGUAUCACUUGCAUUUCAUAAUACCACUUAAGCCCAGCAAACCUGCCUACUAGUUUUUGGUUGGGGUGACCACGGAGUAAAACAAAACCUCCAUGAUGAACGGAACUAGCCUCCUAAUCUAAGAGCCACAACUCACAGAAUCAAAACAUUGACCCAAUUGACCCAAUUCAUUUGAGCAACGGACCAAGUUACCCUGGGGAUAACAGCGCAAUCCAUUUCAAGAGCCCCUAUCGCCAAAUGGGUUUACGACCUCGAUGUUGGAUCAGGGUACCCCAGUGGUGCAGCCGCUACUAAAGGUUCGUUUGUUCAACGAUUAAAACCCUACGUGAUCUGAG
rnacentral:rRNA from 1 species